AAAUUUGUUUGUUUAGGGUUAUAUCUUUUGUUUUUGUUUUUGUUUUUUCUUACAUUCCCACUGACGCCUCAUCGUGAUUGUACCACUCAAUGGGCCAAACAUGAAAGAAAAGUAGGUAAACAUGUGCACAUAGAGUAGAUAAUAACA
rnacentral:ribozyme from 13 species